GAAGAUAUCGAGAGAGUUGCUGUG
rnacentral:siRNA from 1 species